UAAGUAGUACUUUAAUUAAAAAGGGCUAGUUUGCAACUAAUUAUUGAAAUAGUGAUUUCCUACUUAU
rnacentral:tRNA from 1 species